rnacentral:rRNA from 1 species
ACUCCUACGGGAGGCAGCAGUGGGGAAUAUUGCACAAUGGGCGCAAGCCUGAUGCAGCCAUGCCGCGUGUGUGAAGAAGGCCUUCGGGUUGUAAAGCACUUUUCAGUUGUGAGGAAGGUGGUGUCGUUAAUAGCGGCAUCAUUUGACGUUAGCAACAGAAGAAGCACCGGCUAACUCCGUGCCAGCAGCCGCGGUAAUACGGAGGGUGCGAGCGUUAAUCGGAAUUACUGGGCGUAAAGCGCAUGCAGGUGGUUUGUUAAGUCAGAUGUGAAAGCCCGGGGCUCAACCUCGGAACUGCAUUUGAAACUGGCAGACUAGAGUACUGUAGAGGGGGGUAGAAUUUCAGGUGUAGCGGUGAAAUGCGUAGAGAUCUGAAGGAAUACCGGUGGCGAAGGCGGCCCCCUGGACAGAUACUGACACUCAGAUGCGAAAGCGU